rnacentral:rRNA from 1 species
GAUGAACGCUGGCGGAAUGCUUUACACAUGCAAGUCGAACGGCAGCACGGACUUCGGUCUGGUGGCGAGUGGCGAACGGGUGAGUAAUGUAUCGGAACGUGCCCAGUCGUGGGGGAUAACGUAGUGAAAAUUACGCUAAUACCGCAUACGAUCUAUGGAUGAAAGCGGGGGAUCGCAAGACCUCGCGCGAUUGGAGCGGCCGAUAUCAGAUUAGGUAGUUGGUGGGGUAAAGGCCCACCAAGCCAACGAUCUGUAGCUGGUCUGAGAGGACGACCAGCCACACUGGAACUGAGACACGGGCCAGACUCCCACGGGAGGCAGCAGUGGGGAAUUUUGGACAAUGGGCGAAAGCCUGAUCCAGCCAUUCCGCGUGCAGGAUGAAGGCCCUCGGGUUGUAAACUGCUUUUGUACAGAACGAAAAGGUUUCUACUAAUACUAGGAGCUCAUGACGGUACUGUAAGAAUAAGCACCGGCUAACUACGUGCCAGCCGCCGCCGUAA